AGAAUACAGUAAUACAGAUUCUGUCACACUUGGAGACUGACGCCUCUGUUGUUAAUCUCAUAUUGCUAGAAAAUGAUGAGGCCUUCUUAAAAUUAAUUUCAAAAUAUACGUUUUGCUGCUCAUUGCCAUCAAGACUUGGCAGUGAAAUUCCUCCUGCAGCUAGUAAGGGGUAUGAAACAGACCCUGAAGGUGGAUUGACAGCCCUGUUAUACUCCAUUCACUUUGAGAUUCUGUGAUGUCAACACUUUUCCAGUGCCAAGUUUUUGUCUGACAACAUUCCUGUGAAUCGCCUUUCACUGUGUUAAAGGCACUAGGUUACACCUCUCUCUCAGUUGGAUGCUGCUAUUUCAGUCCCAUGCCAGUAUUUUCAGAAAUCUUCGUAUUUAUCUUAAACAUCGAGAUGGUUUCGCAAAGGGACAGUCCUGCACCCUGACACAACUGGGAACUGGGUGGGCUCCCCAGAAGGUCAAGCACUCGAAGGUAGACCCAAGACACCUUCUGCAUUUACUGGAUCCUGUUACUUUGAGAUAAAAAGCCUUUCCUACCUGCAGAGUAAGGCUCUUGUUUCUCGAUGCAGAUAAAUUCCUUUCUUUCAUAUUUGGCACGAAUCCAUUGUUCCCGAAGCACUCUGAAAAGCAAGGAGUUAGGUGUCUGAGAAUUGAAAAAGGAGACUUCAUUGUUCAGUGUAAUUGGUAAAUAAGAUAAUUGCACCAAUGUCGGUUUUCUACUUACAGCAGAUUUUGUGCUUUGUUUGUAUUAUCUACUACCUCUUUCGAAUUUGCAUGUAUUUUCUGUACAACUUUUGGUUUGUCAGGAUUUGACAUAAAAUGCAUUAAGAAAGCCUAUGUCAACUGUGACAGGUCAGCUGCAGGCCUGCUGCCAACAGGUGGUGCUGUGACAUGGCUUGCCCAGCAAAUUGCAUAGUUCCACUCACUCAGUGACUUCUCAAGAGGCCAGGGGAAAACCUGGAGGAUUGAUAACUGGAAAUUGUAGCACCUGUUAUUUUGACACGUCUCCACAAAAUAGCUCUAUUGACUACUUUAAAAUAAAGAUGGCCAACGAAGUAAAUUCAUACUAACUCAGUUUGUGUAAUAGGAGCAGUAAGCCUGUCAUGCCAAUGCUGCUUAAACAAAAAGCAGCAGGGCAACAAAUGUCAACUGCAGCAACGUUACAAAACCUUCUUCGGUGCAUGAUCAUUGCUGACCAGGCAUAGGCCACAGUUGAGUCAAAUGGCCUUUUUCUGUGCUGUAGACUCCACGUAGCUUGGCACUUAUUACAGGAUGAACCAUUCCCAUUGGCUAACCUUUUAAGGCUUACUCCCACACUUGACUCAAGCUGACCUUAGCCCCGAGUGCUUUCCCCGUCCCCCUCUCCCUGCUUGUACCUGACCCAAGUUGUGCCUUUCUGCAGUCCCACUAUGAAACAGUCAGCUUUCUUUAGCCCUAUUAGCCAUUCCUGCUCCCCAACUCUCAUAGACACGCUUCCUGAUCUAAAGCAGCCCAACUUGAGUUUAACCAGCCGUUCCUGUCCAGAUCCUGACACCGAGCCUCUGUUGGGACCUAUAAAAAAAAAGCUGAAGAGUUAUGAUUAUUUCCUCAAAGUGCCAACUUUGCCCAUUCUUCAAGGGUAAAUUUUAUUGUUGCUCAAUUUAUACACCUUUAUUGGUGCACAAUUUAUACACCCUCCCAUUCCAUCAUGACUCCAAUUUCCAAAUGUAACAAUGCACUUACCAAGCUUUCAAAUUUGUAAUGAAACUCUUGCUGUCUUGCUGGGAGGUAUCGGGUGGAGGAGCCAGACUAUCCAUUUAAACCCCUGCCUCAACUGACAUUGUCACAACUAAAUCUACAGCUUGGGGGGUGGGAGGGGGCAGACAGAUAACAUAGCCCCUGCAUUCAACUCUCAAUGACAGGUGGUUGCCAACAAUAUAAUAUCCAAUUCCAUGAUAUUACAGUAACAGAAUGGUAUGGCAGCUUGGGUUGGUGGUGGGGAGGGGUUGGGGGAAAGGGAAGAGAAGGGGAAUUGGAAACAAAUUGUUGAAUUUUAUAAAGAUGAGGAUAUGGGUUGGGCCUAUACUCAUUGGAGUUUAGAAGAAUGAGAGACGAUCUUAUUGAAACUGAGGGGACUUGAUAGGGUAGCUGUUGAGAGGGCGUUUCCCCUCAUGCGGGAAUCUAGAACUAAGGGGUACAGUUUAAAAAAAUAAAGGGGUUUCUCAUUUAAGACGGAGAUGAGGAGGAAUUCCUUUUCCCAGAGGAUCAUGAGUCUUUUGAAUUCUCUACCCCAGAGAGCAGUGGAGAUCUGGUCAUUGUAUCUAUUCAAAGCUGAGUUGGACAGAUUUUUGAUCAACAAGGGAGUCGAGGGUUAUGAGGUGCAGACAAUAAAGUGGAGUAAGGGCCACAAUCAGAUCAGCCAUAUUAUUAGUGAAUGGCGGAGCAGGCUCGAUGGGCCAAAUGGCCACCUCCUGCUCCUAUUUCUUAUGCUAUGUAUUUAACAUCAGCUCAGACGUUACUCAUCAGAAAUCCAAGUUGCACCAAAUUAUUGGCAAAUAGCCACAAUGAGAUGUGCGUGCAUGCUAAAUGGCAAAGGAAAUGCAAGACCACAGUGGUUUAACAUUGGGUCGGUAGUGAACUAUACCACAGGGUCAUGCUGAAAGAAUAUCAACUGCACAGUACAUAUAGAUGCUGACAGGUAAUUAGGAUUAGAAUUGACAUUGGCACCAUCUGACAACCCAUGAAUGUGUUCAAUUCCACAAUGGCCUUUUUUUUUUCCCAAAAGGAGAAUUUGGGUUUGAGCUUCCUUUCGGAUGAGAGAGAUGUGUGUGGUCAGCAAUGAGGCUACACUGAGUGAUUUCGGGACAGUGCAGUUGUAGAUAUGUUUGUGCUCCCCAGCUGUUGUCUGUUGAGGCUGCAAUGACAUACCAUGCUUACUGCCUUUAGUACACUGAGGUUCAUAAUAAAUUUUUUUCUUUGCUUUCUUGAAUACUUAAUCUUUUUACAGUAAAGACAGCAGUUUUGUAGACACAACCAGCAUUACUUUUCUAAUAUCACACUUUGGAAUUUCUAGCUUUAAAAAAAGUGAAAUGGGCUGUGAAUAUUGUUGGUGAUCAAGAAUUUUUCAAAAAAUAUUUUGAUAAUCAGGAUAGAAGCUGUUGAGGAACUUCGUCAUGGGAAUUCAGGAAUCUACAGGAUUGAGAGAGAGUCCAUUUCAGUUGGAAACAUCGGUUUUACUUGAUGAAAACAAACCAAGGUCCAUCUAGUUCAACUUCUACCAUCCUGGCAAUCCCAUGUUGCAAUAUAUCGGAUUUGUUGACUAAUCGCAGCAAUCAAUCAAUCUCUAGCAAUGAGUCUACAACAGAUGCCAGGCAUGAGGCAAGGAAACCCCCAGUGGUAGGGAGCUUUGGGAACCACCUGUCCAUGACCACCUGUUCCUUCCAGGCUUGCUAAACUCACCACAUACCAUGUCCCAAAUUAAUCACAUUACUCUAUCCUGAGAUUGAGAUUUUUGCGAAGAGAAGCUUCAAUUGGUCAAUCUCAAAGUUUAGAAUUAUGUAAUGCUAUGCUAGCUCCCAUAAACUUGAGGUGAUCCAAAAUUCUGCUGUCUGUAUCUAAACUCGAGCAAAGUCCCAUUCUCCAAAGCCUGUACUCGCCGACCUACAUUGGCUCCCAAUCAAGCAAUAAAUUGACUUUAAAAUUCUCAUCCUCGUCUUCAAACCUUACCAUGGCCUAACCUCUCAUUAUUUCUGUAAUCGCCAGACUCUCAUCCUCCAAGAUAUCAGCUCUCCUCUAAUUCUGGCCUCUGUGUAUUUCUGAUUUUAAUCACUCUAUCAUUGGUGACUGCACCUUUCAUUGCCUAGGCCCCAAGCUUCAGAAUUCCUUCCUCUAAACUUCUUUGCCUCUCUACCUCACUUUCCCCCUUUUAAAAUGCUCCUUAAGCCCUACCUCUGUGACCAGGCUUCUGGUCAUCUAUCCUAAUAUCUCCAAAUAUGGAUCGGCAUCAUAUGGGAAGCUCCUCUGGACAGUUUAUGUUAGAAGUGCUAUACAAGUACAAGUUGCCUCAUAUAACCUUGACCACUUGCUCUGUUAAACAUUUCAUUUCCCCUGGUCGUGACCCACCUCCUCCACAUCCGUAGAAAGUUGCUACAUAUAUUCAUCAGCUCCUGGCGAAAGGCAAGGCAAUCCAAGCUCAAGGCUGGCUCUCUAUCCAGAGAGAGGCUGACCCAAAAGACUGCAAUUUAUCUACUCCCUUUCAAGUCUCGAAUAACUGCUCAAGUUCUCUUGAGCUGUGGAAUGCACUCUUUCACUUAAUAUCCCACAAUGGCUUUGCAAAAGAAAUGUUGAAAAGCUUGGAGCUGUGGGGACCACGAGAGGUUUAUUAAAACUGGACUUUUUCUUGCAA